GAUGAACGCUGGCGGCGUGCCUAAUACAUGCAAGUCGAGCGAACAGACGAGGAGCUUGCUCCUCUGACGUUAGCGGCGGACGGGUGAGUACCACGUGGAUAACCUACCUAUAAGACUGGGAUCACUUCGGGAAACCGGAGCUAACACCGGAUAAUAUAUUGAACCGCAUGGUUCAAUAGUGAAAGACGGUUUUGCUGUCACUUAUAGAUGGAUCCGCGCCGCAUUAGCUAGUUGGUAAGGUAACGGCUUACCAAGGCAACGAUGCGUAGCCGACCUGAGAGGGUGAUCGGCCACACUGGAACUGAGACACGGUCCAGACUCCUACGGGAGGCAGCAGUAGGGAAUCUUCCGCAAUGGGCGAAAGCCUGACGGAGCAACGCCGCGUGAGUGAUGAAGGUCUUCGGAUCGUAAAACUCUGUUAUUAGGGAAGAACAAAUGUGUAAGUAACUAUGCACGUCUUGACGGUACCUAAUCAGAAAGCCACGGCUAACUACGUG
rnacentral:rRNA from 1 species